AGCUGAGGAGAUAAGGCUAUCUCUGCACUGACGGGUACUGCCUUGCAGUUAGUGUUGCCAGCUGUCCCACUGCUUUUAUCAGAUCUCCCGGCUGGGCGAGUUUGUUUGUUCCUGGGUGGAUGGCAAUAUGUUUUGGCUUGUUCAGCCUGGUACUUGAUAAAACUUGUCUGGCCUGAUCUGCAUUCAGGCAUUUAACUUGUAGUACUCUUUCCCUUCUUGUGGGAAUGAAUGUUUCCCAACCAGCAAUCUGAAGCCAAUAGAAGGAACGGAUUGCUUGUGGUGGCUUGUCUCCCAAGAAACCUGGGGGUAGGCGUAGACGGAAGGCCUGAUUCAGCUGGGGGUGUAGAGUUGCUCCUGCAGGUGUAGCACGUAGGGCAGAAAGUCCGCUCAAGGGGGGAAUUGUGGCAGGCCAAAGCAGCCCCAAUCCCCCUGCUGUAGGGAGGCUGGCAUGGGGCAGCUCCGCCGAAAGAGCCAAGGGCUCUUGUCAGAACAGUUAGGCAGUUUCUUGGCACAGCCGACUGCUGGUGAAUUCGAAAGCUGCCCUGCCCUGAUGGAAACCCUGGGGGAGCGCACUGGGAGUUGCUGUCACCUGUCCUUCCUUGGGGAACAAGGAGGAUGUAAUGAAUGCAGAGUCUGCCAUAUGCUCUCAAGAUCCCCCUCUGAUCUGCGGUAACUAUAUGGUUGUUGUCUGAGGCCUGGUCUGCGCUAGAAAAGUAGGUCGGGUUAACGACGUUGGUCGGGGUGUGAAACCUCUGAGCAGCGUUGUUAAGCCGACCUAAGUCCUGGUGUACGCAGCACUAGGUCAAUGCAAGAAUUCUUCCGUUGACCUAGGUACUGCCUCUCGGGGAGGUGGAUUACCUAUGCCAACAGGCCAAUCCCUGCUGUCAGCGGAGGUAGUGUCUACACUGAAGUGCUACAGCUGUGCCACUGUAGUGUUUUAAGUGUAGACAGCCCUUCGUUAUCCCCUGGGGUUUGCAGCUGAGGUUCAGCUCUGUUCCCAGUAGCUUCAUUUAUUUUUGGUGUUUCUCUUGGCAGCACGCUCAUUGCAUCGACCUGGGCUUCUCUUAGUUCUCUUUUGGCUAUCUGAGGUUCCCUUUUUUAAGAGGCCUGUUUCCCAGCACUGAACUCAGUCAUUUGGGGAUUUCAGUUCCCUUUUCUAGCAGGCUUUUAUUUUCAGUUUCCAUCCGGUUCGGUUUUGCCGUUUCAUUCCGUAGGCAAUCAAAGGGAAUUUGUUCUAGUUAAUUUCAUAGCAACAUAUGGUUUCAACAUGACAUCCUCUCCUGCCGAUCUAAGCCGUCAUUUAAGCCCGGAUCCUGCCAGGCGCUGAGUGCCUUCACACCCCGUUGAAGCUGGUGGGAAUUGAGGAUGCUUGGCAUUUUUCUGCAUGCUCUCAGCACCUUGCAGGAUCCGUCCCCUUGGACUCUGGCGCUUUGAUGACCAGGGAACAGACAUUGUUUGCUCUCCCUCUUGGUGGCUCAUGAGCUACGGAUUCUUGUGGCUUUUCUCAAUGUGUUAUCUGAACUUUAGAACCUUUUCCUUUUUUUUCUCCAGUUGAUGAGCCACCCUUGGCAUUUCUGUCACACGUGUGACUCAGACAGACACUUUCUGCCUGGCUUAGGGAUUUCUGUGCGUCUUCAGAUUUGACUAGGCUGCCUUGGAUCAUUGCUGCCCCAUUCUGAUGAAUAGCCCCAGUCACUGAUAAACGUGCUAUCAGCGUUGGCUGCAUCUGGCUGGAUGUAAUGUGCGUGCCGUGAUUUGUCUGUCACCACCAUCACGUUUCGGAAAUGGUAUUCUCCUCCCCUUCCUGUCCAGAACUGUUGCUGCCAUACACUGUUAAUCAGCUGCCCUGUUCCAUCCCAGAGGUGGCUGCCUUUCAGUGUUGUGAUUCCUAUGUACAGUUUGUAAAGCCCUUUGGGAUGAACAGGACUAUAAAUCUCACUGCACAGACCAUCUUCCUCCUUUGCAGAUGCCCUUCAGUGGCGAUUCCUCUGUGACUCACCUUCACAAACCUAGAAAGAACCAGAACAAGAUUAUCAUGUGCUGGGACUUCUUUUGGGGCCUGAGAGUUGAUCCUCCACCAACCUGAUCUCCAGCUAAAGGGGAGACUACACCCUGCAUCUCAGUCUUCAGAUGCAAGUCAGCAGUGUGGAGAUGCUAUGUUGCAGAGACAAGCCAGAGAUCCACCUGUAGUCUCUCCAUCAAACACCGUGGAGGCCUCCCUGCAGUUACAAGCUCCGCUGGCACAUGGCGGGAUUCAUUCCGAGCCCCGCGCAGGGCCCAAGAGGGCAGGCAAUGCACCUCCCCUAACUUGGGGCUGAUUUGGCCCUUUGCUGUCAGUCAGGGCAGCUGUAAUUUACACUGUGGUUGCAACAAUCUCUGUAGACCACUGCACCACUGCCAAAUAGCUGGCAUUCGGGAGUGCCCUGUCCUUUCCUGCUCCUCCACCAACACCCUUGCUCCAGGGUUAUGGAGCUGGCUACACUGACUGUGUGCCCAUUGGAGACGCCUGCUACUCUGGGGGUUUUCCCUGAAUCUAUAUGGCAGGUGGCAGGGGUGAAUUCCUCCCUCCCCAAUGCACCACGAAAAGGGCUCUCUUUAUGUGUAUAUAUAUGUUUCAGCUGUGGUGCUGAAAGGCCUCUUGCUCUGGUCCAGGGCCCCACAAAACCUUA